rnacentral:pre_miRNA from 1 species
CUUUAAAAUUUUCAUCCAUUUGUAUUGUAAAAAACUAACGUGGCUAACAGAAUAACUAGACAAUAAAAAGUGACAUGCUGCGUGUACCUCAUGUUGUCGUACAAGGACAAGUUUUUAAUGAUAGAUAGACAAAAUUUUUACAG